UACGUAGGGGGCGAGCGUUGUCCGGAUUUAUUGGGCGUAAAGAGCGUGUAGGCGGUUCGGUAAGUCGGCUGUGAAAGUCCAGGGCUCAACCCUGGGAUGCCGGUCGAUACUGCCGGACUAGAGUUCGGAAGAGGCGAGUGGAAUUCCCGGUGUAGCGGUGAAAUGCGCAGAUAUCGGGAGGAACACCCAUGGCGAAGGCAGCUCGCUGGGACGUUACUGACGCUGAGACGCGAAAGCGUGGGGAGCAAACAGG
rnacentral:rRNA from 1 species